CUGUUUGGAAAAAUGAAAGUGAAAUAGAUAUAUCGACAGCAAAUUGUUUUAAUAGGAACAGCAAGCAAAGCACGGGCUGGGGAAGCUUUAUCUGAAAGCAACGUAGUAGCGACCGCUGAUGAUCGGCUCCCAGGGACUGUAUGGACCCAGAAAUUAAUUUGUUCCUGAGACCUGGAGAAACCAUGAAUGGUGAAAAAUAUUUGUGGGAUAUGCAUAUUAAUGGUUACAAAUAUUGUAUCCAGCACCAAAAUCCCAGACACAAAAUACUGUAACCUAUUUGCAAAGGGACCCUUCGAUCCAGUUUCAUUUGACCUGUUUAUUAGAAAGACAUACAAACUUCACAAAGUCAAAGAAGGGAAUACCACGGUGCUGCUCUGCUGCUUGGUCUUGAGUGAAUACCCUCUGUUGGCUGCUGUUUCCCCAGGAUUUUACAAGGUCUUCUGGGAGGAGCAGAUUAAAUGAGAUAAAGUAUUCUGCUGCAGGAGACUCCAGGCUCUGGUCAAGGACAAAAAGAUGACGUUAUCCCCUGGAUGUGAGGAAGGAGAACCUACCAGAUCCUUGCUGUAUCUCUGCUGAGCCUGGAAGCUGCUGCAGCCAGAGAGGUUUGACACCGCUGUGGCAUCACAGGGCUGGAGGUCAUUUGGGGCAAGCAGAAGGCCCCGGGAUGCACUGUGUGCGAAUGGUACCCAGUGUACAUCUGUAGUUUUCCUGGACUUCUGUCGAUGCUUGCCAAUAGACUAGGGUCUAAAUCCACCCUUAUUUCGCAUAGAUCCUGGACUCUUUUUCCAAUCUCUCUCUUAAAUAUCUUUGCAUGAUGCUGCAUUGUGUCAUGUAGAAAAACAUUCAGAGCUUGGGUUUCCCAUCUGUAAAAUGGGGGCAAUAUUUCCUGUGUCCCAGCCGUUGCUGAGGUUAUCAGGCUUCUGGGACGAGAAUCCUUUUAUUGCCUGUUUCUGUAUUCUCUGGUUCAACGAGACCCUGAUCUCAGUUGAAGCCUGUAAGUAUCACUGAAAUAUAAAUAGAUAAUAAUAAAAAGACGAUCUUGACACAAAAUGGAAUUUUAUAUUCUGGAGAGUGAAAUAAAAUAUGUACUAAAGUCUGCUAAAGCGUAACCAUGAGAUCAAAUGAUAAAAUUCUUCCAGCAACAAAGAGUUGACACAAAUUUGUGAGAUUAAACUGAAUCAACUCAACGGAGGCUUCUUCUGGUGGUUUAUUCAUACAAAGUGUAUGAAAAAAGUAAGUGAGAUGAUCAAAUUACCCUCACAGCAUGGAGCCUGACAUGGCUGUAGACUCUCGGAGCCACCGGAGGACCGAGCAGGUGUGUUGUUCUAAUUAUACCCUCAGCCUUGCGAGGAAGGAGCAAGCUUCCCGGUUGCUUCCCUGGUGGAGGUAAGGUGUUACCAGCCAUCAGCAAACGAGAGGGGAGAGCAAGGACAAGGCACCUGAGGGGAGAAAGAGGAAGGAAGGAGCAGAUUCAUAAUGCUGCUUUUAAAAAUAUAUGUACAUCCCUACGCCGAGCCACCCAGACGCCACUUCCAGUACUCGUUUCACCUGUCUCUGCGCAACCCUUCCUUAUGGCGAGCCACACAAAAUUCUUCUUUAACAUUUUCUCUUUUAUGACCAUAGUGAGAUAUCUGGCUAAACAUAACGAUUUAUUUGUUUAUUAAUUAAUCAACAACAGGCACACUAGGAGUUACAGUGCGAGCAGUCCCACACGUAGGUUUUUAUCACCAUAUACCAUGCCCCUAGGGAAAUAUACAUCUUUUUUUCAAGAGCAUAAAUGGACAUUUCUAUAAAUUGCAACUACUUGGGUGCAUGUAAUAUGCAAUAUUAUUCAUCUUUGUAUUCCAGGUGAAUCCAGACUAGACUACCAGCCUCUAGGGGAGUCUGCUUCAUAUAAUUAUCAGUAUUCAAAGAAUGAUUGUAGAUGUUGUAGCUUAACAGCAGGUGAAUGGUCCUUAUCUGAAUAUUAAAUAAAGUGCAACUGGAUUUCAGGUUAUCUCUGACUAAAUGUUUGCAAAGUCAUUAGUGAAAGCAUGCAGCUAUAAUCCCACCACUCUUCUUCUUACAAAGAACUUCCACUUUUGUUUUUAAUUCCUUUCCAGGAUGAAUUGUUCAUCUCCCUUUCCUGUACACAAGCUCUUGCCCAUUGGUUGGACUACGAGCAAUGCCAGGGAAGCUGCCUUGUAAGUAGGACCUACACUUUUUUUUUUUUUUAAUGAUAAACAACAAAAGAAACCUAGAGAAGAGCAAGAAAGAGAAUGAUUUAUUAUUUCCUCUAAGGACUAUCAGAGCGCUGAGUGUGAGGAAAAGGCUCUUCAGUAAACUGCUCCUUUGUCCUCCCCAGUUCGGGGAACUUUAGCUCUAUAUUUGGUUUCCUCGUUGCGUGAUCUGAGAGCCGCUUUAUGUAUUUAUUUAGCAAAAGCCCUUUAUUACUGUUUUAGAACGGGGGAGGGCUUAAACAUACUUGAAAACUACUUUAAUAGCUUGGUAGUGGAUGCUAUGUGAAUAUAGUAGAUACUAGUUAAGAGGAAAUUAAUAGCAACAAAGAAAAAGAUCAGCAACAACCCCUGCUGAGCAGAAGGAAGCAAACCAGGAGCAGGACCCAGCACUGCUGGCGAGAAGGGCAGAGGAAUUGCUGUGGGACAGUAACGCCACACUGCUGAGGCACGACCCAGGUUUCAGUCCGCAGCUGCGGAGAGCCCAGCACAUCCCUCAUCCCGCCGGGGAGCCGCUUCCAAGAGGCCUUUUCAAGAGGGACGAACCCCGCAGCGCGGCUGGGACACCGGCUGCACCCGCGGCACCACGAGCGCUUGGCACCGCCGCGGGGCCGCGCCUGGACCGCCGGGGGGAAGCCCCCGAAACACAGCGACUCCAAAACUUCUCUUUUCAUGGAAUAGAUAUACAUAUAUAUGUAUAAACCAUCAAUGGAGCCAUCUCUGCAGUAAGCCAUGCACUGUUUAGUUUUACUUGGAAUCCCAUUUAUUUUGAGCUGUAACACCGUCCGAGUUUUCAGCACAACACAGCCAUCAUCUUUUGCUUUCGAGCGAUACACCUCUUGUUUCAGGCUUCUGCAGACUCGGGCAGAUGUCACUACACCUGCCUACACUUACUUCAGCUCAUCUUUGCAGAAAAGCAGAGUAGAAACAGUAAUUCAGGAAAGGAGGAGGGCAGCAAGCUGAGCACAGGUCUGUGCUUAGCUGUGAGCUAGCCAGCGGGGUGGUCAGUCCCGGGGACGAGGAGCACACGGGCUCCCAUCAUACCUGCUACAUCGGGGGUUUCACUAACGAGAAAUAAAGAAAGCUUUUUCCAGCAAGAGGGCACUGCUGUGUAUUUUUUACCUUUAAAAAUAUUCUGAAACAGACAAUAAUUAAACAGUGAAUUGUAGAUUUGCUCACUUUCCUUAAAA